UACGUAGGGGGCGAGCGUUGUCCGAAGUUACUGGGCGUAAAGCGUACGUAGGCGGCAAGGUAAGUUACCUCUAAAAGAGGGCAGCUCAACUGCCCGGUGUGGGGUAAGACUGCCAGGCUUGAGGCAAAGAGAAGAGUGUGGAACUCCGAGUGUAGCGGUGGAAUGCGUAGAGAUUCGGAAGAACACCCAUGGCGAAGGCAGCACUCUAGCUUUGACCUGACGCUGAGGUACGAAAGCCAGGGGAGCAAACGGG
rnacentral:rRNA from 1 species